rnacentral:lncRNA from 1 species
GAUUCUUGACAUUCUUAGGAAUCACCUUGAGCUGGACAUUAAAGAGACACUUUUCUUAGAGUUGGAUCAUUGUUCUAAGACAAGAACUCACCAAAAACUAGCACCAAAUCCCAUACUCAUUUGGAUGCUCCACAUAUUGUCAAAUUGAAUCAACAAAGAGAGGUAAAAUUAAAAGGAACCGAACAUAAUUGAAUAAGCAAACAUAUGAACCGAACAAAAGUGAAAUUAAAAGGCAAGAACAGAAAAUAUGUGCUGGAAAACUAGAAUAGCC